CCAAUAGCGUAUAUUAAAGUUGUUGCAGUUAAAAAGCUCGUAGUUGAAUUUCGGGGUUAGUAGGUUGGUCAUGCCACUGGUAUGUACUGGUCUCACUGAUUCCUCCUUCCUGAUGAACUGUAAUGCCAUUAAUUUGGUGUUGCAGGGAAUCUGGACUGUUACUUUGAAAAAAUUAGAGUGUUUAAAGCAGGCUAACGCCUGAAUACAUUAGCAUGGAAUAAUGAAAUAGGACGUUCGAUCCUAUUUUGUUGGUUUCUAGGAUUGACGUAAUGAUUAAUAGGGAUAGUUGGGGGCAUUAGUAUUCAAUUGUCAGAGGUGAAAUUCUUGGAUUUAUUGAAGACUAACUACUGCGAAAGCAUUUGCCAAGGAUGUUUUCAUUAAUCAAGAACGAAAGUUAGGGGAUCGAAGACGAUCAGAUACCGUCGUAGUCUUAACCAUAAACUAUGCCGACUAGGGAUCGGAUGAUGUUAAUUUUUUAAUGACUCAUUCGGCGCCUUACG
rnacentral:rRNA from 1 species